GGGCUCGCUUCGGCAGCACAUAUACUAAAACUGGAACGAUACAGAGAAGAUUAGCGUGGCCCCUGCGCAAGGAUGACACGCCAAUUCAUGAGGCGUUCCGUACGUUU
ensembl:snRNA U6 U6 spliceosomal RNA